GAUUAAGUUAUAAAGGGCGCACGGCGAAUGCCUUGGCAUCAGGAGCCGAAGAAGGACGUGAUAAGCUGCGAUAAGCUUUGGGUAGCCGCAAAUAGGCAGA
rnacentral:ncRNA from 1 species